AGAGUUUGAUCCUGGCUCAGGAUGAACGCUAGCGGCAGGCCUAACACAUGCAAGUCGAACGGUAACAGGUCUCGUUUACGAGACGCUGACGAGUGGCGGACGGGUGAGUAACGCGUAUGUAACUUACCUCUAACUAAGGAAUAGCUCCGAGAAAUCGGAAUUAAUACUUUAUAGUAUUCAUUAAACGCAUGUUUUUUGAAUUAAAGAAUUUCGGUUAGAGAUGGGCAUGCGUGAUAUUAGUUUGUUGGUAAGGUAACGGCUUACCAAGACUACGAUAUCUAGGGGGUCUGAGAGGAUGAUCCCCCACACUGGUACUGAGACACGGACCAGACUCCUACGGGAGGCAGCAGUGAGGAAUAUUGCGCAAUGGACGAAAGUCUGACGCAGCCAUGCCGCGUGCAGGAUUGAAGGCCCUACGGGUUGUAAACUGCUUUUAUACGGGAAGAAACCUUUGGAUUUAUCCAAAGCUGACGGUACCGUAAGAAUAAGAACCGGCUAACUCCGUGCCAGCAGCCGCGGUAAUACGGAGGGUUCAAGCGUUAUCCGGAUUUAUUGGGUUUAAAGGGUGCGUAGGCGGAAAAAUAAGUCAGUGGUGAAAGCCCAUAGCUCAACUAUGGAAUUGCCAUUGAUACUGUUUUUCUUGAAUAUAUAUGAAGUAGGCGGAAUGAGUCAUGUAGCGGUGAAAUGCAUAGAUAUGACUCAGAACACCAAUUGCGAAGGCAGCUUACUAAUAUACUAUUGACGCUGAGGCACGAAAGCGUGGGGAGCGAACAGGAUUAGAUACCCUGGUAGUCCACGCCGUAAACGAUGAUCACUAGAUAUUGGCUUCGGUCAGUGUCAAAGCGAAAGUAUUAAGUGAUCCACCUGGGGAGUACGUUCGCAAGAAUGAAACUCAAAGGAAUUGACGGGGGCCCGCACAAGCGGUGGAGCAUGUGGUUUAAUUCGAUGAUACGCGAGGAACCUUACCAGGACUUAAAUGCAGAACGACAAUUUCGGAAACGAGAUCUUCUUCGGACGGACUGCAAGGUGCUGCAUGGUUGUCGUCAGCUCGUGCCGUGAGGUGUUGGGUUAAGUCCCGUAACGAGCGCAACCCCUAUUCUUAGUUGCCAGCAUGUAAUGAUGGGGACUCUAAGGAAACUGCCAGCGUAAGCUGUGAGGAAGGUGGGGAUGACGUCAAAUCAUCACGGCCCUUACGUCCUGGGCUACACACGUGCUACAAUGGUGAGUACAGAGUGCAAUACGCUGCAUGGUGACAUGUGGCAAAUCACUAAAGCUCAUCUCAGUUCGGAUUGAAGUCUGCAACUCGACUUCAUGAAGCUGGAAUCGCUAGUAAUCGCGCAUCAGCCAUGGCGCGGUGAAUACGUUCCCGGGCCUUGUACACACCGCCCGUCAAGCCAUGGAAGUUAGGAGUACCUGAAGUCGGUAACCAUAUAGGAGCCGCCUAGGGUAAAACUGAUGACUGGGGCUAAGUCGUAACAAGGUA
rnacentral:rRNA from 1 species